rnacentral:rRNA from 1 species
UACGUAGGGUGCGAGCGUUGUCCGGAAUUAUUGGGCGUAAAGCGCGUGUAGGCGGCUCGUUAAGUUGGUCGUGAAAGCCCAUGGCUCAACCAUGGAAGUGCAACCAAAACUGGCGAGCUUGAGUUCUGAAGAGGAUGGCGGAAUUCCCAGUGUAGAGGUGAAAUUCGUAGAUAUUGGGAGGAACAUCGGUGGCGAAGGCGGCCAUCUGGGAAGCGACUGACGCUGAGACGCGAAAGCGUGGGUAGCAAACAGG